rnacentral:rRNA from 1 species
AUUGAACGCUGGCGGCAGGCCUAACACAUGCAAGUCGGACGGUAGCACAGAGAGCUUGCUCUCGGGUGACGAGUGGCGGACGGGUGAGUAAUGUCUGGGGAUCUGCCCGAUAGAGGGGGAUAACCACUGGAAACGGUGGCUAAUACCGCAUAACGUCGCAAGACCAAAGAGGGGGACCUCCGGGCCUCUCCCUCUCGGAUGACCCCAGAUGGGAUUAGCUAGUAGGCGGGGUAACGGCCCACCUAGGCGACGAGCCCUAGCUGGUCUGAGAGGAUGACCAGCAACACUGGAACUGAGACACGGUCCAGACUCCUACGGGAGGCAGCAGUGGGGAAUAUUGCACAAUGGGCGCAAGCCUGAUGCAGCCAUGCCGCGUGUAUGAAGAAGGCCUUCGGGUUGUAAAGUACUUUCAGCGGGGAGGAAGGCGAUGUGGUUAAUAACCGCGUCGAUUGACGUUACCCGCAGAAGAAGCACCGGCUAACUCCGUGCCAGCCGCCGCGGUAA